UAUGGACUGUAACCUAACAACUUCAGAAUUCUGAAGAAACUGGAAAAACAGGACAGGCAUAAGAGUUAGAGAAUAUGAUAAAACGGCUAGGAGAGGUUUGAGUGGUAGCAGCACAGUGCUUGUUAUAUCUCAAGCAGGUUUCGGAAGAAAAUAAGAAAUGGAAGAAGGGCAGGCGUUAUAAUUCGGAGAAUGCAAUAAAAUGAGUUAGGACUUUUUAGCAGUACCAGCCCCCAGCCCAUUUGCAUCACAAGCAGGAACUGUUAUGCUAGGGAGUACAACUGACAAUUUGGCAUUGCUUAUUGAAGGAAUUGGAGCUCAAAGCAAAAGUGAGAAGAGAUGUCAACAUAGAUCCCCUAGGAUUUGGAACUCAAAUCGUAAACUAGCCUAUGCAAACAGGGUUACAAGCCUACAUAGCCUACUCCAUAUGGAUCGCAGUCAAUCAUAAUAUUUUUCUUGGAGGGAGGUUAAUAAUUUAUUGGUGCUGUGGGAAAAGCUAGUGUAGGUUGUGGGCAAUCAGAACCUAUAAUGAAC